UACGUAGGGUGCGAGCGUUAAUCGGAAUUACUGGGCGUAAAGCGCGCGUAGGUGGCUUCGUAAGUCCGUUGUGAAAGUCAAAGGCUCAACCUUUGAAAGCCGAUGGAUACUGUGAAGCUAGAGUACGGAAGAGGCGAGUGGAAUUCCUGGUGUAGCGGUGGAAUGCGCAGAUAUCAGGAGGAACACCAAUAGCGAAGGCAGCUCGCUGGGACGUUACUGACACUGAGGCGCGAAAGCGUGGGGAGCGAACAGG
rnacentral:rRNA from 1 species